AUUGCAGUAUCAGAGUGGCCAAAAUAACCUGCAACCACCUCCUAGAUCUCAGCGUACCACCAGAAGUAUAGGAUCACUUUCUCGGCCACUUGGACUUGGUCGGGGUAAGAAGGAUAAAUCUACUGUGGAAGAAUCAUCUGUGGGAGACACUGCCAUCAGUCAACAUGAAGACAAGACAUAGUAUUUUGAGAAGCAAGAAUUGAAGUUCCUUUUUGGGUGAACAUAUAUUUUCUAAUUG